rnacentral:rRNA from 1 species
GUGCCAGCAGCCGCGGUAAUUCCAGCUCCAAUAGCGUAUAUUAAAGUUGUUGUGGUUAAAAAGCUCGUAGUUGAACCUUGGGCCUGGCUGGCCGGUCCGCCUCACCGCGUGCACUGGUCCGGCCGGGCCUUUCCCCCUGUGGAACCCCAUACCCUUCACUGGGCGUGGCGGGGAAACAGGACAUUUACUUUGAAAAAAUUAGAGUGCUCCAGGCAGGCCUAUGCUCGAAUACAUUAGCAUGGAAUAAUAAAAUAGGACGCGCGGUUCUAUUUUGUUGGUUUAUAGGACCGCCGUAAUGAUUAAUAGGGACAGUCGGGGGCAUCAGUAUUCAACUGUCAGAGGUGAAAUUCUUGGAUCAGUUGAAGACUAACUACUGCGAAAGCAUUUGCCAAGGAUGUUUUCAUUAAUCAGGAACGAAAGUUAGGGGAUCGAAGACGAUCAGAUACCGUCGUAGUCUUAACCAUAAACUAUGCCGACUAGGGAUCGGACGGUGUUAUUCAUGACCCGUUCGGCACCUUACGAGAAAUCAAAGUGCUUGGGCUCCAGGGGGAGUAUGGUCGCAAGGCUGAAACUUAAAGAAAUUGACGGAAGGGCACCACCAGGGGUGGAGCCUGCGGCUUAAUUUGACUCAACACGGGGAAACUCACCAGGUCCAGACACAAUAAGGAUUGACAGAUUGAGAGCUCUUUCUUGAUUUUGUGGGUGGUGGUGCAUGGCCGUUCUUAGUUGGUGGGGUGACUUGUCUGCUUAAUGCGAUAACGAACGAGACCUUAACCUGCUAAAUAGCCCGCAUUGCUCCGGCAGUGCGCUGGCUUCUUAGAGGGACUUUCGGCU